rnacentral:tRNA from 1 species
GACCGCAUAGCAUCAAAUGGUAAUGCAGCCGACUAAUAAUCGGGGAGCUGAGAGUUCGAAUCUCUCUGUGGUCA